GGCUCUGUGGCGCAAUGGAUAGCGCAUUGGACUUCUAGUUGAUAAAAGAUAUUCAAAGGUUGUGGGUUCGAGUCCCACCAGAGUCG
rfam:Xenopus tropicalis strain Nigerian scaffold_2058_contig_3, whole genome shotgun sequence.